ensembl:lncRNA
UUUAAACUAAGAUCUUCGUGAGUGCACCUAGCGUAAAGCGUUUGUGGUGACAACAAUAGCUGACAAGAUAAGGCUGUGUGUUGCUGUUACAUUUAGAGCAAUCUCCAGAGUGUAUUUCACUUUCAACCACAAGGACAUAAAGCUUUCACAACAAUGUGUUAACGCUCUUUUUUAUUAGAAGUAUUAAAUGAUUGCACAUCACAAGAAAUCGCUCAGUAUAGUGACUACUGGAUUCAGCUCCCAUGUGUUAUUUCGACGCCCUAAAAAGCACAGAGAGAGAGACCUGGAAACCAUUUAAGCAGAGGAACAGUGAAGCGAGUCUAUCUGAACAAAUUCUAGAGGAACUAAACGUGAGCUUCUAUUUGUGUUUUGCUAGAGGGACACUCGGCUUCACGGUUAAUACUAUUCUACAAAAGUCAGAAUAAAGAGCAUUUUAUUUGAAGAGCCUACUUGAGGCUAUGGUCUGUCACAUGCUGAUGUAUUUAGAAGGAUAUUUUUAGGCUCGGCGUGCACUGGAAUCUUCUAUUUACUAGAGUUAAUCUUCUAAAAUACUUAAAUUAUCUUUUUUUUUUAAAAUCAUAUCACAUAAUAAGAAGGGGCAUUUAAAAGGUGAAGAAAUGAAUAAAUACGUUUUCUUUUCUUUCCUUUUUUUUUUUUUUUACCGCGCUUACGAUAUUACGCAUUGGACGGACCCAAGCGUGACGCAUGUGUUUAUUUUGAAUUUGCUAACUUAGAGAUAAUGCAUUUUGUUUGGUUUCGUCAUAUUUUGACAUAACUCAACUUUAGUGUAAUAAUUAUACUAUUUUCUUUUCUUUUCUUUUUUUUUCAAGCGUUACAAGGAAAUUCCUGAGGUUAUUGUUUUGUUUUGUUUUUAAUAUUUGAUCUAAUCUUUUCUGAUGUUACCAAGCCCAAAUGAGAAAAUGUACAUAUCCACGCAUACAGCAGGGUAAUCGUGAUAAAGUUUUGAACGUUAAUGCAAACUGAGAUACUGGUGGCUGAUUUCUGCGUGGGUGUCAAAAGUCGGUUUUGUUGCUUGAAAUACUUGCUUAAACUUAGUGCUAAUGUUGUGUUAGCUCUGAUAUAUGUUUGCUUUUUAAGGAGCCCUUACAUUUACACCGUGCCAAUGCAUAUAAAAUAAUAGACGGUAAUAUAGCUGAAGCUACACCACACAUGACUUGAACCAACGCUGAUCAAACUUGAACAGGUGACGCAAAAAUUUUCACCAUGUAUGAAACAGUUAAUGCAGUUCCAUGCUUGCAUACUUGACCUUCAGUGGGCACUUUAAGGCCCUUGGAAAGAGUCGCCCUUGGAAAGACAAGUCCUCUAUCAAAAAUACGGAAUGCCAAUU